rnacentral:sRNA from 1 species
UCCCGUGAUCCGCCACCUACGGACGUGC